AAGAAGGUGAACGCCGGCGCGGUCCGCGGGAGGUUGGAUCCCGUCCCGUCGGGGCGGGCGCACUACCGGCCGAUCUUCUCCGCCCUGUCGGCGAGGUCGAGCGAGAGCGUGCAAGUCGGGACCCGAAAGAUGGUGAACUAUGCCUGAGGAGGUUGAAGCCAGAGGAAACUCUGGUGGAGGACCGUAGCGAUUCUGACGUGCAAAUCGAUCGUCAAAUUUGGGUAUAGGGGCGAAAGACUAAUCGAACCGUCUAGUAGCUGGUUCCCUUCGAAGUUUCCCUCAGGAUAGCUGGCGCUCUGUCGCAGUUUUAUCUGGUAAAGCGAAUGAUUAGAGGUCUUGGGGGCGAAACGCCCUCAACCUAUUCUCAAACUUUAAAUUGGUAAGAAGCCCGACUCGCUCGUUUGGAGCCGGGCAUGGAAUGCGAGUGCCAAGUGGGCCACUCUUGGUAAGCAGGACUGGCGAUGCGGGAUGAACCGAACGCCGGGUUAAGGCGCCCGACGCGACGCUCAUCAGAGCCCACAAAAGGUGUUGGUUGAUAUAGACAGCAGGACGGUGGCCAUGGAAGUCGGAAACCGCUAAGGAGUGUGUAACAACUCACCUGCCGAAUCAAUCAGCCCUGAAAAUGGAUGGCGCUGGAGCGUCGGGCCUAUACCCGGCCGUCGCGGCGGUACGAGCAUCGAGUUGGAGCGCUAGGCCGCGACGAGUAGGAGGGCGGA
rnacentral:ncRNA from 1 species